rnacentral:rRNA from 1 species
AGAGUUUGAUCCUGGCUCAGGACGAACGCUGGCGGCGUGCCUAAUACAUGCAAGUCGAGCGGGAUUUUAUCUUGGAAGUCUUCGGAUGGAAGAGAUUUAAUCUAGCGGCGGACGGGUGAGUAACGCGUGGGCAACCUGCCCUAGAGCCUGGGAUAACACCGGGAAACUGGUGCUAACACCGGAUAUCUUUACCUUGAGGCAUCUUAAGGUAAAGAAAGGAAACGCUUUAGGAUGGGCCCGCGUCCCAUUAGCUAGUUGGUGAGGUAACGGCUCACCAAGGCGACGAUGGGUAGCCGGCCUGAGAGGGUGGACGGCCACACUGGGACUGAGACACGGCCCAGACUCCUACGGGAGGCAGCAGUAGGGAAUAUUGCGCAAUGGGGGAAACCCUGACGCAGCGACGCCGCGUGAGCGAUGAAGGCCUUCGGGUCGUAAAGCUCUGUCGUGGGGGAAGAAGAAGUGACGGUACCUCACGAGGAAGCCCCGGCUAACUACGUGCCAGCCGCCGCGGUAAUUC